rnacentral:rRNA from 1 species
GAUGAACGCUGGCGGCGUGCCUAAUACAUGCAAGUCGAGCGAACGGACGAGAAGCUUGCUUUUCUGAUGUUAGCGGCGGACGGGUGAGUAACACGUGGAUAACCUACCUAUAAGACUGGGAUAACUUCGGGAAACCGGAGCUAAUACCGGAUAAUAUUUUGAACCGCAUGGUUCAAUAGUGAAAGACGGUUUUGCUGUCACUUAUAGAUGGAUCCGCGCUGCAUUAGCUAGUUGGUAAGGUAACGGCUUACCAAGGCAACGAUGCAUAGCCGACCUGAGAGGGUGAUCGGCCACACUGGAACUGAGACCCGGUCCAGACUCCUACGGGAGGCAGCAGUAGGGAAUCUUCCGCAAUGGGCGAAAGCCUGACGGAGCAACGCCGCGUGAGUGAUGAAGGUCUUCGGAUCGUAAAACUCUGUUAUUAGGGAAGAACAAAUGUGUAAGUAACUGUGCACAUCUUGACGGUACCUAAUCAGAAAGCCACGGCUAACUACGUG